UUGGAGGGCAAGUCUGGUGCCAUUAGCCGACGUAAUUCCAGCUCCAUUAGCGUAUAUUAAAGUUGUUGCAGUUAAAAAGCUCGUAGUUGAAUUUCGGGAUCAAUAUAUCGGUCGUGCCAUCGGUACCGUACUGGUAUGAUUGGUUUCUCCUUCUGACGAACCAUGAUGUCAUUAAUUUGGUGUUAUGGGAAGUUAGGACUGUUACUUUGAAAAAAUUAGAGUGUUUUAAAGCAGGCUUUGGCUUGAAUACAUUAGCAUGGAAUAAUGAAAUAGGACGUUCGAACCUAUUUUGUUGGUUUCUAGGAUCAACGUAAUGAUUAAUAGGGAUAGUUGGGGGCAUUAGUAUUCAAUUGUCAGAGGUGAAAUUCUUGGAUUUAUUGAAGACUAACUACUGCGAAAGCAUUUGCCAAGGAUGUUUUCAUUAAUCAAGAACGAAAGUUAGGGGAUCGAAGACGAUCAGAUACCGUCGUAGUCUUAACCAUAAACUAUGCCGACUAGGGAUCGGAUGAUGUUAAUUUUUUAAUGACUCAUUCGGCGCCUUACGGGAAAC
rnacentral:rRNA from 1 species